rnacentral:rRNA from 1 species
CACGAAGUUAGCCGGGGCUUAUUCUUCCGGUACCGUCAUUAUCGUCCCGGGCAAAAGAGCUUUACAACCCUAAGGCCUUCAUCACUCACGCGGCAUGGCUGGAUCAGGCUUGCGCCCAUUGUCCAAUAUUCCCCACUGCUGCCUCCCGUAGGAGUCUGGGCCGUGUCUCAGUCCCAGUGUGGCUGAUCAUCCUCUCAGACCAGCUACUGAUCGUCGCCUUGGUAGGCCAUUACCCCACCAACUAGCUAAUCAGACGCGGGCCGAUCCUUCGGCAGCAAGCCUUUCCCCAAAAGGGCGUAUCCGGUAUUAGCGCUAGUUUCCAGCGUUAUUCCGAACAAGGUACGUUCCCACGUGUUACUCACCCGUCUGCCGCUCGUCCCCGAAGGGCCCGCUCGACUUGCAUGUGUUAAGCCUGCCGCCAGCGUUCGCUCUGAGCCAGGACUCAAACUCU